rnacentral:rRNA from 1 species
UACGAAGGGGGCUAGCGUUGCUCGGAAUCACUGGGCGUAAAGGGUGCGUAGGCGGGCCUUUAAGUCAGGUGUGAAAUCCUGGAGCUCAACUCCAGAACUGCCUUUGAUACUGAAGAUCUAGAGUUCGGGAGAGGUGAGUGGAACUGCGAGUGUAGAGGUGAAAUUCGUAGAUAUUCGCAAGAACACCAGUGGCGAAGGCGGCUCACUGGCCCGAUACUGACGCUGAGGCACGAAAGCGUGGGGAGCAAACAGG